GGCCUGAUAGUUCAGUGGUAGAAUUCUUGCUUUGGGAGACCAAGCCUGUAAGAGGUCUCCGGUUCGAUCCCGGAUUAGGCCC
rnacentral:tRNA from 1 species